ACACACACACACACACACACACACCCCAAAACCCUGUGCCUUCACAUGGUACAUUAAUCUGUAUUUGGGAACAGAAGUAUUUGAAAAACAGGUAAGUAAAUGGCUAUGAUGUGUCUGCACGCGUCUCCCCCCAGAUUCUUACCCUGAAAUCCUAAUGCUUAUAAGGAGGUGGAGGCUUUGGGAGGCGAUUCGGUCAGGAGAGCAGAGCCCUCAGGAACGGGACUGGUGCUCUUAUAAAAGGAGAUGAUCCUACAGGAGAUCCUACAGGCCCUUCCCCAGGUGGGUUCACGGCCCGCAGGGCAGCGUAUGGCCCCGGGAAGAGACCCUCCCCGAACCUGUUGGUAACGUGACCCUGAAUGUCUCAGCCUCCAGGACGGUGAGAAAUACAUUUUUUAAAUAUAUAUAAACUACUGAGGCUGUGGUAGCUUGUUAUAGCAUAUCCUGGACUGAGUAUCCUUAAAAAAAUUAAAUGAAAGUGGAAUGUGCAAGAAUAACCUGGUAAAAGCUAUUACCUGAUGCACGUGUGUGUGUGUGUGUGUGUGUGUAUUUUAAUCAUUGAUUUUGUGCUUGAAUUUUCUCCUAGACACACCUACUGGCCAGAGAGGUCUGCAAAAUCCUUUCUUCUGACCCGAAGGCUGGGUCACCCCUCAGCCCAUGAGUCUACCCCGUAGGGUCUCAGGAGCUAGUCAUUCAUGGAUUUUCUGCUAUCGGUUUGGCGUUCUGGAAGGAUCACAGCUUGAUGGCUGAUUGUUAUAGUAGCUGCAACGCUAACAAACAGCAAAUGACUUUUUCUUUUUUUAAGUGCUGCUCUGAAACACCUGCUCGUGGCUCACACCUUGUUUGCCAGAGGGGCCCUCGGAUUACUUCAACACAUCUGCUAGAAGAAAGGAGCGGCCAGAGGAUGUCCCACCUGAGUUGGAGGAUCUUAACCAGGAAUCGACGGGUUCUUAAGGAAUUCAUGGAUAAAAUUCAAGUGGGUCAGAGAAUCCCAUGACAGCGCGUCUUCCUAGGCAUUUUCCUAAACGUUUUCUGAGCUUUUAUUAAAUUAUAAAAAGGUUUCGGUUCAACUAAUGUCAAACGCUUUGGCUUGCGUAGGUAUAAGGGUUAUGUCAAUCAACGUCACCUGUUGUUGAUAGAGAUGUUUGAACACACGCAGCACAACGCAGACGCUGUAAACAUCACCAUCAUUUUACAACUGCAGAAAUCCCAAAUACCCACUAGGGGGCAUAAAAACCUAAAUGAAACUUUGGAAACCAACCAGGAUCUUUUUUGGGUUUUGUAAGCUGAGAGAAAAGUAUUUCCAGUAAGUCGCCUGUACCAACUCCUUAUCUUUGCCCACACACAUCCAAUAUUUAGGAUAUAUUUUGGGCAUCUUAUUUCUCUGGAAAUAGUCGAACAGGACAAAACCUCACCCAUUUCAUAGAUUAUCUAUUUUCAUGGUGUUUCCAGAAAGGAUGCAAAAUAAUUCUGACAGCAUUUUCUAUUUCUUUUCAGAGAGAUUAGGUACAUUUGUGAAACAGGAGAUAUCACUAAAGCAUAGUUUUGAACAAGAAGCCCUUUAGCCAAGACCCUUCGUGUGAAAAUUAAGGGAAAUGAACGGACGGGGUUUGCAUCUAGAGAAGUGGAAAACUGAGGAAAGGGCCAAAAUGCUUUUAGCACAUCGGCUCCCAUUAGAACGCCAACCUCUCAACGUUAGAGUUGAGUCUGGCUUCCUUACUGUCUGCCUCCAGCUUGUGCCUUUUUCUUAAACAAAUUCUUUUCUGACUCAUGUUUCU
ensembl:lncRNA